CAAUAGCGUAUAUUUAAGUUGUUGCAGUUAAAAAGCUCGUAGUUGGAUUUCGGGUGGGACGCAGCGGUCUCGCAUUGCGUUUGUACUGCUGCAGCCCUCCUUCUUGCCGGGGGCGGCCUCUCGGACUUCACUGUCUGGGGGUCAGAAUCGGCGAUGUUACUUUGAGUAAAUUAGGGUGUUCAAAGCAAGCUUACGCUCUGAAUAUAAUAGCAUGGGAUAACACGACAGGACUCUGGCCUAUCGUGUUGGUCUAUAGGACCAGAGUAAUGAUUAAGAGGGACAGUCGGGGGCAUUCGUAUUCCGUUGUCAGAGGUGAAAUUCUUGGAUUUACGGAAGACGAACAUCUGCGAAAGCAUUUGCCAAGGAUGUUUUCAUUGA
rnacentral:rRNA from 1 species